rnacentral:rRNA from 1 species
ACCGCUGGCGGCAGGCCUAACACAUGCAAGUCGAGCGGAUGAAGGGAGCUUGCUCCUGGAUUCGCGGCGGACGGGUGAGUAAUGCCUAGGAAUCUGCCUGGUAGUGGGGGAUAACGUCCGGAAACGGGCGCUAAUACCGCAUACGUCCUGAGGGAGAAAGUGGGGGAUCUUCGGACCUCACGCUAUCAGAUGAGCCUAGGUCGGAUUAGCUAGUUGGUGGGGUAAAGGCCUACCAAGGCGACGAUCCGUAACUGGUCUGAGAGGAUGAUCAGUCACACUGGAACUGAGACACGGUCCAGACUCCUACGGGAGGCAGCAGUGGGGAAUAUUGGACAAUGGGCGAAAGCCUGAUCCAGCCAUGCCGCGUGUGUGAAGAAGGUCUUCGGAUUGUAAAGCACUUUAAGUUGGGAGGAAGGGCAGUAAGUUAAUACCUUGCUGUUUUGACGUUACCAACAGAAUAAGCACCGGCUAACUUCGUGCCAGCAGCCGCGGUAAUACGAAGGGUGCAAGCGUUAAUCGGAAUUACUGGGCGUAAAGCGCGCGUAGGUGGUUCAGCAAGUUGGAUGUGAAAUCCCCGGGCUCAACCUGGGAACUGCAUCCAAAACUACUGAGCUAGAGUACGGUAGAGGGUGGUGGAAUUUCCUGUGUAGCGGUGAAAUGCGUAGAUAUAGGAAGGAACACCAGUGGCGAAGGCGACCACCUGGACUGGAUUCUUACAU